AGAAAUAGAGAAGAAAGAGUUAGGGAGAAAUUUUUAGUUGCAAGAAGAGUAGAGGUUCUGAAGGAUUUCGGGGAAACAAAUUCGGAGCAGGAGAUUAAGUCUGGAAUAGAGUUACCUUCUGAACAUACGUAGCCCCAUUGCAUUAAACAACCUCUGCAUGAGCCAAACUCUCAUAUUAUAUAUAAAGAAGCAGCUUCAGAGAAAUAGCUACAAAGAUAAAGAUACUCUAAACUCUGAAUUAGCGAGAAUUUCAACAAUUUGCGUUGCAAUGGAGAGAAAAACCCUAGGAAUUAUGUUCUUUUUCCUCCUCGUCUUAACUUCUGAUGUAUGUGUAAAGAGAGCAGAGGCAGAUUGUUAUACACCAAGUGCACAUUUCAAAGGAGCGUGCUUUCAGAGUGACAAC